GCCACACUGAAAGGUGGCGGACGUGAGUAAUCUAGAGAGUCGGUGACAACAAGUGAGGGAAUUUUGAAAUUAAAGUGCACUGCGCAGGCCAUGGGUUUAUUUGUUUGUUUGUUUAUUUAGUUAUUUAUAAACGCACAUUUCUUCAAGUUACGGGGAAAAGUCGGAGUGCUGCACACGGAUUAUUAUGAUGAAGAAGGUUAAUCGAGGUGGAGACACUUAAAACUGAAGGAAAACGAGGAAAACGCCAUGAAAGGAAGUAAAUGUGGAGAGGAAAUGGCGUGGACUUGGACUCAUAAACAAAGGUUGAAAAGGAAUGGCAAACCAACAGGACACCAGACAACAGACUGUGGAUCAACGGUGUAUGUUUGAGAACAAGAAGAAACUCCGAAGGACGUCGAGAGUCAAGAAUGAACCUUGAUGUCUGGAGACACAACUUUGAAGGCGUCCACCGAGGGUCAGACAGACUGGAAGGGAAGAGAAGAAACGGACGCUUGACGUAAGGCAGUGCAGCAGACAGACGAGCAGGUGGAGAGAAGAGUCAUCAGCAAGGUUUAGAAGAGGACUGAGGACCAGGACCUUGAUAAGGCUGUGUCUCUGCCACCCAAGAACCAAGACAGAGAGGAUGAAGAAAAUAUUCUUUCUCCCAGCUGCUCAACAUUGGAAAUAAAAAUUAAACUCCUAUUUUGCACAAACCUAUCACAAACCUUUAACAUGGACCAGUAUUGCACAGUAAGAUUCUCAUUCUCUGUUCGUAUAACAUUCUUUAAAAAGUUAUUUAAAAAGUUAUUAAAUAUUUAUUUUUAUGAAUCUUUCUGUCAAAAUGUGAACUUUUUGUGUCAUUUUCGGUCAAAAACAAAAAAAUGGUGAUGGACAUCUUUGUAGUUAAUCGUACACAUAAUCGUACACAAUUAUUUCUCAAAAUUGUAUCUUUUCUUACAUGUUUCUCAUUAAAAUAGGACAUUAAGAGAACAUUUUUAGAAAUUCAUUUUUAUGAAAUUUUUUUUGUGAUCCUUUUGUGUCAUUU